rnacentral:rRNA from 1 species
CCGGACCUGACUGCUUUCGGAUUGGUACUAAGCCAUGCGAGUCGUUGUAGCAAUACAAGGCGGACGGCUCAGUAACACGUAGUCAACCUAACCUAUGGACGUGGAUAACCUCGGGAAACUGAGAAUAAACCGCGAUAGAUCAUUAUGCCUGGAAUGGCUUAUGGUUCAAACAAUUUAUUGCCGUAGGAUGGGACUGCGGCCUAUCAGCUUGUUGGUGAGGUAAUGGCCCACCAAGGCUAUAACAGGUACGGGCUCUGAGAGGAGAAGCCCGGAGAUGGGUACUGAGACACGGACCCAGGCCCUAUGGGGCGCAGCAGGCGAGAAACCUUAGCAAUGUGCGAAAGCACGACUAGGUUAAUCCGAGUGAUUUCUGUUGAAGAAAUCUUUUGUCAGUCGUAAAACCACAGACGAAUAAGGGGUGGGCAAGUCUGGUGCCAGCCGCCGCGGUAAUACCAGCACCUCGAGUGGUCAGGAGGUUUAUUGGGCCUAAAGCAUCCGUAGCCGGCUUUGCAAGUCUCCGGUUAAAUCCAGCUGCUCAACAGAUGGGCUGCCGGAGAUACUACACAGCUAGGGAGCGGGAGAGGCAGACGGUAUUCGGUGGGUAGGGGUAAAAUCCACUGAUCCAUCGAGGACCACCAGUGGCGAAGGCGGUCUGCCAGAACGCGUUCGACGGUGAGGGAUGAAAGCUGGGGGAGCAAACCGGAUUAGAUACCCGGGUAGUCCCAGCUGUAAACGAUGCAAACUCGGUGAUGCAUUGGCUUAUGGCCAAUGCAGUGCCGCAGGAAGCCGUUAAGUUUGCCGCCUGGGAAGUACGGACGCAAGUCUGAAACUUAAAGGAAUUGGCGGGG